CCCCGGGCUCAACCUGGGAACUGCGUUNUGAACUGGGUGACUAGAGUGUGUCAGAGGGAGGUAGAAUUCCACGUGUAGCAGUGAAAUGCGUAGAGAUGUGGAGGAAUACCGAUGGCGAAGGCAGCCUCCUGGGAUAACACUGACGUUCAUGCCCGAAAGCGUGGGUAGCAAACAGGAUUAGAUACCCUGGUAGUCCACGCCCUAAACGAUGUCGAUUAGCUGUUGGGCAGCAUGACUGCUUAGUAGCGAAGCUAACGCGUGAAAUCGACCGCCUGGGGAGUACGGUCGCAAGAUAAAAACUCAAAGGAAUUGACGGGGACCCGCACAAGCGGUGGAUGAUGUGGAUUAAUUCGAUGCAACGCGAAGAACCUUACCUGGUCUUGACAUGUACGGAACCCUCCAGAGACGGAGGGGUGCCUUCGGGAGCCGUAACACAGGUGCUGCAUGGCUGUCGUCAGCUCGUGUCGUGAGAUGUUGGGUUAAGUCCCGCAACGAGCGCAACCCUUGUCAUUAGUUGCCAUCAUUAAGUUGGGCACUCUAAUGAGACUGCCGGUGACAAGCCGGAGGAAGGUGGGGAUGACGUCAAGUCCUCAUGGCCCUUAUGACCAGGGCUUCACACGUCAUACAAUGGUCGGUACAGAGGGUAGCCAAGCCGCGAGGUGGAGCCAAUCUCACAAAACCGAUCGUAGUCCGGAUUGCACUCUGCAACUCGAGUGCAUGAAGUCGGAAUCGCUAGUAAUCGCAGGUCAGCAUACUGCGGUGAAUACGUUCCCGGGUCUUGUACACACCGCCCGUCACACCAUGGGAGUGGGGGAUACCAGAAGUNGGUAGGGUAACCGCAAGGAGCCCGCUUACCAC
rnacentral:rRNA from 1 species